UUGACUGGAAGAGGUCCCUCAGGUGGGGGUUGGGGGUAAGGCCGCAGGAAGCGGUGACGUACAGAAGAGAAUGGGGGCACAGAAGAGAGUAGGACAUGGACAUGAGUUCUGGCUUGUUUUCUUGCUCGCUGUGAAUUUGGAGUCUGGGUUUGCUUCCCCAUUUCUAAAAUGCCACAUUCCCCAUUUUUCAAAUGGCAACAGUCACAGGAUCGUUGUGCGGAUCAAGUGAGAUGAAAUGAUUUGCAAACCAUGAGGUACCACAUACGCAUGGGUGCCGUGGUUGGGGUUCAUCUUUCCACCCGAGUUGUGUCACAGGGCUUCCUCCAGACUGGAGGAACAGAGCCCGAAGCAGGGGAAGGGGCCAGCUCUUCUCCAUGUGGGUCACUGGAGUCCCCUGCGUGAGCCGCCGGCCAUAAACUCCUGAUCUGGCCUGAUAGAGUCAUCUUCCAGCAAGAUUCUUCCUGGAUGCCUUUCCAUGGCUUGUUUCCAAGCAGAAAGCUGGCAACGGCUGCUCACUCUUCCUUCUUCACUGAGCCUUCUUUUCCAUAUUGGAAGAAGAUGAAAUGCACAUUUCAGAAUAGUUUCUUGAAGGAAGAAUGAGAUCAACACAAAGAGAGAAGCCGAGAUGGAAAACUGAGAAACGGCCCUGCUGAUGGACUCUGAGUCCCUGGUUCCACCCCUGUGUCCUCCAGUUAAAUAAGCUGAAUGUGAUCCCCCCCUUUUGGCUUAAGCUAGCUUUGAGUUGCACCCCAGGACUCACUCGUGGUGAAAUCUGCUGAAUGAGCUCAGGGGUGGGGAUAGUGAGCUGCCUCUGUGCUCUCCGUACAAAUCCCUCUUGCAAUCAUGCAGCUUGUGACAUUUGCUAGUGAUGAUUCAAACAAGCUGCCAUCAUUUACUGGUGGGUAGGAGGGGGAUGGAGCCCCCUGAUAGAGACACUAGAGUGGUUGCUCCAAAGAAUCCCCAGGGUCCUGUGCCACGAGAGUGGUGAACACAUCAGCACAUGUGCCCAGUGCUAUGUACACUCAGGUAUCCUUUUGGUCAUUGCUUGUGUUUAGAAAUAGGUGAUACCUUGAAGGGGGCCCUCCCUUCAGGUAGGCCAUUUUUGCCAAGAAGUAUUUAAAAAAAAUUUUUAAACACUUAUUUAUUUUUGAGAGAGAGAGAGACAGAGAGUGAGCAGGGGAGGGGCAGAGAGCGAGGGAGACACAGAAUGGCAAGCAGGCUCCGGGCUCUGAGCUGUCAGCACAGAGCCCGAAGUUGGGCUGGAACCCACAAACCAUGAGAUCAUGACCUGAACCGAAGUUGAAAGCUUAAUUGACUGAGUCACCCAGACACCCCAAGGAUUAUUUAAUAAAGGAAUAGGCUGAGGGAUCCACUUUCCAAUGAGGGAAAGCCUUGUCUGUCACGUAAUACCCCUGCCCCCACCCCCACCUUGAGCCCAGGCAUGCUGGUGUGCAGCAGGAUUUGAUGUCCAAUUGUACAUGCUGUGUGAAGAAGACUGGUGUGAGGUAACGAAGGCCAAUGUUCAAUCUACAAAAUGGUGAUUUCCGUUCAUUUUUGCUUGUGAUGCACAAUGUGGUUUUAAAGUUCCAAAGAACAAGGUUUCUUGAAAAUAUCUUAUUUUUUUCCUGAUCACAAAACAUAGAAGCAGCACUAAAAACUGCAAUAAAAAUUAAGCAAAUAAAGAUAAUUUAAAAUCUUAUCACCCACAGGUCGGCACCGUGCAUUUUGGGGUGUAUCUCUCCCAGACUUGUUUCUUCUACCCAAGAGCAAGCUUAGAGGCUGAAUCCAGAUCAGAAUUGAGGUCUCUUAGUGCCUUGUAGGAAUACUUGUUUUUAUUCUUCAUGACACAUUAGAAAAUGAUAGUACAAAAAUCCAUGAACCUAAGGCCCACAUAUAACAAAAGUUAGCAUUUUGUAUUUACUUCAGAUACUUUUGUUUUAAUAAAUACAAUGUUGUAAAAUUUUGACAACCCUCCCCUAAUCCUUUUCCUCUCCCCUAGAGAUACCAAUUUCCUGAAGUUGAGAGUUUCUUUUCCCUGUGUUUUAUACUGCUGUAAUGUAUGUUUGCAUACUUAAAUUAUAAUAAGAUAUCAUUUUGUGGGUUUUUUAAAAGACUUAUACAAAUUAUGGGGCGCCUUGAUGACUCAGUUGGUUGUCUGACUCUUGAUUUCAGCUCGGGUCAGGAUCUCACGUUUCAUGGGUUCAAGCCCCAUGUCAGGCUCCGCACUGAGCAUGGGGCCUGCUUGGGAUUCUCUCUUUCCCCUUCUCUCUCUGCCCCUCCCCUGUUCUUUCUCUCUCUCUCUCUCUCUCUCUCUCUCUCUCUGUCAAAAUAAAUAAAGUUAAAAAAAUAACAACAAAAAAACCAAAAAGAAAUGCAAAAUAUAUCAACAUGUGUAUCUCCUUCAACUUUCUUUAUUGCACUUGUCAUUAAAUUUCUGGUAUGUAUUCACACUGAUACAUCUAAAUCAUUGUAGUUACUGUAUCAUAGUCCAUUAAAUGAAUAUAUCAGAGUUCA